GCCGCCAUGCCCCAGCCUAUUGAUAUUCUUGUUGAGGUUCUCAGACAUAUCUGCAUGGCCUCACACAUGGAGGAAAGAGACCCACAGAGGCAAAAACAAGACAUGGGGUAAAAAUAGACUGGAAGGAAACACACCGAAUGAUAGUGGUUUUUUCUGGGUGUUGAGAUUACCGAGCUUAUUUUUAAAUUUCUUAGAUCCUUCAGGUGUUCUACAACGUAAAAUGCAGACAGGGUGGGGACGUUGGUUGGAGUCAUGUUUUCCCUAAUGUUCUUACUGGUUCUAAAAUCUUCAAGCUAUGCUCUCACCCAAGGCUUCACUUAUUAUUAUUUUAACACUGUGGAUUCAUAAAGAAUGGAAGCCCACACAAGUCCAGGGAAGGAAGGAAAGGCAGACAGAGGCUUAUUUUCAGGCCUGGGCAGUUGCACAGGGUCCCUUGCUUAGAAGGGCCUCAUGCUUGGUUUCGUGUUCUGUGGUCGCUGUCCUGAAAUUCUUACUGAUUUUUGAACAAGGGAUCCUGUAUUUUCAUUUUGCACUGUGCCCUGAAAAUCAUGCCGCCGUCACUAGCCCUGGGAUUCUCCCCAGGACAGGUUUCCCUUCAGCUGCUCUAAGCCUUCGCCCUUGUCCUUGUCCAACCACGGACGUGGCCAUCCACGGAGCCCUCUACGUGCCUCAGAGCAAGUGUGCUUCGGCUGCUCAGGUGUGUGUCUAGAGACUGAUAAAAACAGGGCUCGUGAGUGGGUGCGGGAGGCCCCUGUGGUCUCUGUUCACACACGUACCUACCCUCAAGGCCAUGUCUACACUGGCCUAUUUCAGAGAACCGCCCUGUGCAUCAUGGGAUGCUUUGCCCCACAUCACGGCCCAGCUUGGUUCAGUCCUGGAGCCCUGUGUCCUGAAGCCAUGACCAACCCCAGGCCUGGCCCACCUUCUUCCUCAGUCUCCUCUCCCUCAAGCCCUCCACAGGACCCAUAAACCUUCCAUCUCCAUGUAAUCCUUUUGUGUGAUCCUUCUUCCAUACCUUUGCCCAUGCUGUUCACUCUGCUUGUACCAGCAAGGUUCCUUCCUCCCCAGAUCUGCCCUUUCUAGACCCAUCUCAGAUUCCACCCUUUCUAGAAAGACUUCAGGAAGUAUUUGAGAAGGGCCUGAAGAUGCUGUGGUUGCAUAGAGGAGGAUAUGAAUCACCUCGCUUAGAGGUAUCGGGGAGGGCUCCAUGGAGGUGGUGCCCUCAGGCCAAGGAAGAGAAGAUAUCUUCCGGGCAGAAGGGAGAGUUUGACGGGCUGGUUUGAUGUCAGACAGACCACAGGAUGACUCAAGGUCCUCUUUCCUCUUCUUAAACAUUAGUUGCAGCAAGUCCCACCAUCUGCCUGAGUCUGUUUUCAUCUCCACAAUGGAGGUGGUGAUGCCCAGCACACGGAGCUGUGAUGAGGAUUUAAUGGGGAAUCCAGAGCAUUUAUGGAAGUGCCAGGAGGCCAAGAUUCUGCAUAGGGACUGCAUGUGCUGGUGGAAUCUCAGUCACCAUGUCCCACGUUGAAGGAUGUUUGGAGGGGGCUGACUUUGGUCACCCUUCAAAUCAUAAGUUAUAUGCGUCUGCCCUUUCCGCCCACACUGAGAAGGGCUGAAUAUCACCUGUGAGCCUGCCCCUGCUCCCAAGAACACCCUUUGGACACCUGUGGGCUCUGCAAGGUUGGUGUAACCCCUACAGAUGAGGAAACCAGAGACAGAGAAGUGAAGUAACUCAUGCAGGUGACGGCAGAGGGCAGAGUCAGGACUUGAACCUGGAGAGCCUGGCUCUAAAGCCCAAGCUGGAAUCUCGAUACUCUACACCUCGAUAAGUUUUUGGGAAAUGACUGACUAAACAGAUGAACGCGUUUGCCCCCCCGCCGCCCCAGAGCCCCCUUAAAGCCUACAUGUGGCAGUUUGGGCCCAUUUCCUUGGCUUCCCUCCCUGGAGGGGCACCCACUGCCAGUGUCCCUGCUGAAAUUUAGCAUCAUAUUCCAUGGCGAUUUUCCACCAGUGGAAAUCACAGGUGUUCUCUGGUAUCACAGCGGGGUCAGGGAUGACCUGAAAUAUUGUUCAUGCUCAUCACAACUGCAUGGCCCACCGCGGGGUCUUGUCACUCAGUGAGUUCUUGAAGAGGCACAGACAAAUGGAGUUCAACAAAUGGAAAACAACUGCCUUUAAUUAGCUCCGAGGACUACAAAGGGAACAACGUUAUAAUAGCAGCAACUCCAAGGAAGCAGCCACAGCUCUCAGCUCUCAGACCUGGGGCUGCCGCUCAUCAUCAGCUACAGCUAGGUUUGAUGGGAGUGCCCCCAUUUCAGGGGACAGCAGGCCCCCUUCACUCCCCGACUCAGUCCCCAUCUGCAGCAGCACAGCCUUCCUUGGCCUCACCAGGGAAGAAGAACAGGCCCCGCUCUCAGACAAGCCUUCCCAGAAGCCUGAGGACUCAAACACCCAAAUGUGUCUGGGUCCCUGCCCCGAGCCGGCCACCCAGGCAGCAGCCCUGAAUCACUCGGUCAGCCAGCGGCAGGGCAGGCCAAUGGGCUGGAGGGUAGGCAGGCAGGCAGACCCACCUCUGCAUCUCUGCUGACUGCCUCGGCUGAGGAAAGGCAGCACCAGCCCCCAACCCUGAAGUUCUAGAUCUCAUGCAGCCUCUCUGUUCUGGAACCAUCCAGAGGCACUGCCCUUAUACAUGGUCCACCCCCAGGCUCAGACAAUGAGAAUUCCACAAGCAGAGGGGACUCUAUUUGGGGCACAGAGAGGUUAAGUAACUCCCCUCCUAAGGUCUCUCAGCAAGGAAGCCACUGAGCCGUGGGACUUGAGCUCAGGGACUCUUGAUCCCCAGUCUCAGGUGUCACAGCCCCAUCUGGGCUCCUGCUAGGGAGGAGGAAGGCAGCAGGGGGUGUCUGAGGCCAGGGUGCAUCAGCCCUAAAUGCCAGACAGAGGCAGGAGAAGUCUCCCCAUGAGUCCCAGCCCCAUUAGAGGCUCCAGGUCGGGGAUCCCAGACCCCCUAUCCUUGCUGGGAGACACAACCCAGAACUCUGCAUCCCUGCAGCCACCAAAAAAGGCAAAAGCUGCCCAGAAACACUUUCUCCUCUUCCGUGGCCAAAUCCACGAACUUUCUCGAGGUCUGUCCCCCUGCCCCGUGCAGGUCCAGCUUCAGUGCAGCCCAGCUCUGUGCAGUUUUCCACAAAAGCCUGUGGCUUCCUUCUCCUCCCUCUGCUUCUGAUACCCCAGGAGUUACACACAAAAUGUUGGCGGUGGUCUCCAGGAAGACCCCUGCAUCCCACAGCUCUCCCCAGAAGUUGCCAGCAGUGACCUCCUGAGCCCAGGUGGGGAGUCCCAGGCAGGACAGGGGCUGGGGCUGCAGGCCCUGGGGCCCUGUUAGUGAAGCAGCAAGCCGAGGGUCCCUGAGAGUUUCCCUUGGCCCCUCUGAGGGCUGCCCUUUGAGGUCUUGAGGUCUUGGAGUAUCCAUCGCCCCCACGGCUUACUGUCCCCACCAGCGGAGGAUGAAAGUGCCACAGCGAUGUUCCACGCCAAGAGACCACAGAGACCACCAACCCCUCUUCCCACCUCAGGCUUUCAGAGGCCAGCGGAUUUAGGCGGACAGGCUGUGCGCUUGAGGGCAGCCAGGGCGGUCAGUGGAGGGACGUGGUCCGGGGCCUGGCCACAGCUCCCCACCCAGGGCCCUGGGCUAUUGU
rnacentral:lncRNA from 1 species